CCAUUGUUCUCUGCUGUUCUCCUUGAAGAGCCAAACACCAAGUAACCACAACAAAAUGAUCGCUCUGGAGCACCAUCUACAUGGAGACCAGGAAUGACAACAAUCAAGUGAGUCCUUCAGCGAACACCUGUAGACAUUCUGAGUCAGAUGCUGGGAAGAUGGAAGCGCUUACCUGACUCAUGCCUGUACUUCUAUCCCAACAAACCGUGACACAUGGAGAUGUUAAAGCUGUCAACUUUUCUUUGUAAAUGUUUCUACCCAGGAAGACAGUAUUUCGCCCACUGUGAAGCCUUCUGAGCACGUUCCUCCGAAGCAGCAGAAGCGAAAAACAGGAGCAGAGCUGGCUAUCCAAUGCCUUUCAUUCAGUCAGAUCUGAUUUUCCCAGAGCCGUCCAUCAUAAAGAAGCACCAAGUACCAACAGAGGCAGUGGGAGGAGCCUCCAGCAACUCCCAGGUACUGCUGGGCCUGCGCUUGCUACGGUCUUCACACGGUGGUCAUCAAGCCCAUCAAGCUGAGGUCUGACCUCAAACUGGUCAGCAUGCCAUCUACAACAGUCAUUCACCACAGACAUUUGCCCAAGCUUCAUUCAGGUCAUGGCGACUCCUACCUGGAUCAGUUCUGCAUUUCACCAGGACCCCUGGAAUUGCUGCUAGGUUUUCGCAGACCAGACACAAACUUCAAAAUCUCAUACUUGCCAUUCCCAAAGAGAGAAAAUUGAAUAAAAACAACAUCUUCAGGACACAC